rnacentral:lncRNA from 1 species
CCCUCCAAGAUGUUUUCCUGGAUUUCCUCAGCCUAAAGUAAUCCCUCUUUUUCCUGGCUAUACCAUCUGGAACAGAUGACUUCCAAGGACACCGUAGCAAAGAAAAAGAGAACUGGAAGCCCAUGUGCCUUAAUCGCUUCAUCCUAGAGGAUCCCUGAGGACUUUCUUACGGAUUUUUGUCUGUGGGAACUUGUGAAUUACCG